rnacentral:rRNA from 1 species
ACGGGUGAGUAACGCGUGGGAAUCUACCUUUUGCUACGGAAUAACUCAGGGAAACUUGUGCUAAUACCGUAUGUGCCCUUCGGGGGAAAGAUUUAUCGGCAAGAGAUGAGCCCGCGUUGGAUUAGCUAGUUGGUGGGGUAAAGGCCUACCAAGGCGACGAUCCAUAGCUGGUCUGAGAGGAUGAUCAGCCACACUGGGACUGAGACACGGCCCAGACUCCUACGGGAGGCAGCAGUGGGGAAUAUUGGACAAUGGGCGCAAGCCUGAUCCAGCCAUGCCGCGUGAGUGAUGACGGUCUUAGGAUUGUAAAGCUCUUUCACCGGUGAAGAUAAUGACGGUAACCGGAGAAGAAGCCCCGGCUAACUUCGUGCCAGCAGCCGCGGUAAUACGAAGGGGGCUAGCGUUGUUCGGAUUUACUGGGCGUAAAGCGCACGUAGGCGGACUUUUAAGUCAGGGGUGAAAUCCCAGAGCUCAACUCUGGAACUGCCUUUGAUACUGGAAGUCUUGAGUAUGGUAGAGGUGAGUGGAAUUCCGAGU